AUGAAUUGUGUUUCAGGAAACCAUGUUGCAUUCUCAGGUAAAAGUAUCGGUUCAUUAGCCAAGUAUCCACUCGAGGUUUAUGUGGAAACCAUCGAUCCAGCUCCACAGCUAUCCUUCUUCUCAUAUUAUUCCACUUUGAAUAAAUUGGUGCCUAAACUUGUGAAUGUGUUCAUCUGCUAUUGCCUUUUUUUCUAUUGUAAUAAAGUGGAAUAA